rnacentral:misc_RNA from 1 species
GUGACAAAAGGCUCCACCUUUUGUAGAAUCUCCACUGUUCUUUCAUUUGCCUUGACAAAGACCCCACUGAAGAUUUUUCGCAACCGCAAAGAGUAUAAAGCCUUCCUUGUUCUUGGAUGCAUAUCACUUUUCCCUCCAAUGCGUAUUACAAAUAGAAGUUUGGAUUCUGACGUAGUCAGUGCUCCCUUGUCUCUUCUUUUUCCCCUUUGUUUCAUUUGGACAAGAUCCAUCUCCUUAUCUCUAUACUCUCGAAUAAAUUGUUCGGGCUUCUUAAUAACAAAACUAUCAGAUUUGAGCUUUCUGACUUUCUGUUCCAGCUGGAGUUUUCUUCUGAUUGCCCAUUCUUCAUUGUUCUUCCUCUUCUUUAGAAUCACUUCUGGUAUAUAAUUUAGAGACUGUGGCACCUCCUCUGCCAUUG